UACGUAGGGUGCGAGCGUUAAUCGGAAUUACUGGGCGUAAAGCGUGCGCAGGCGGUUCGUCGUGUCCGAUGUGAAAGCCCCGGGCUCAACCUGGGAAUGGCAUUGGAAACUGGCGGACUCGAGUGUGGCAGAGGGGGGUGGAAUUCCGCGUGUAGCAGUGAAAUGCGUAGAGAUCUGGAGGAACACCAGAGGCGAAGGCGGCCUGCUGGGCUGCACCUGACGCUGAGCCGCGAAAGCCAGGGGAGCGAACGGG
rnacentral:rRNA from 1 species